GAAAAUCUUCCGAACUUCGGGGAGCAAAAUAUUUUUACAAAACGUCAAUGUCACACAAAAUCAUUGCUAUUUGCUGUCCUGUCACUCUUAGCUGUCAGUCUAAUGUCAAGUGAAGUGUCAAAUAUAAUAAUGCUUUGACGUGACGUGUCUUAUUAGAAAUUUGGAAUAUUUUACUGUGUGUUUCUCUAUUUUACGACAUGAUUUCGUUAUAAUAAUAACUGUGCUAGAUAUAAAUAGAGUAGUGAGUGCUCUGCAAUAUGGAUUUCCUAAAAAGCGGCCUCAAAACUGUCCUUGGGGCUCCAGAGCCCGGUCAACAACCUUCGGCAGCCGAAACGGUGGAGCGCCUAGUGGAUCGUGUCAACAAUUCCACGUUAUUAGAAGACCGUCGCGAUGCCUGCCGCGCGCUCAAAGCUAUGUCCAGGAAAUACCGGGUGGAGGUUGGGGCACAGGGGAUGGACACAUUGAAACAGGUACCCAUUUACCAAAUUAUUAUAAAAAAAAUUUCUGCUACUGACUAAUGAUUGAAAUGGAUAUUGUAAAGGCUUCCACUGUUUGUCUUUUGUUAAAUUAUUCAAUAA